rnacentral:rRNA from 1 species
AUUGAACGCUGGCGGAAUGCUUUACACAUGCAAGUCGAACGGUAGAGGGGGCAACCCCUUGAGAGUGGCGAACGGGUGAGUAAUAUAUCGGAACGUGCCCAGUCGUGGGGGAUAACGUAGCGAAAGUUACGCUAAUACCGCAUACGAUCUACGGAUGAAAGCGGGGGACUCGCAAGAGCCUCGCGCGAUUGGAGCGGCCGAUAUCAGAUUAGGUAGUUGGCGGGGUAAAGGCUCACCAAGCCAACGAUCUGUAGCUGGUCUGAGAGGACGACCAGCCACACUGGAACUGAGACACGGUCCAGACUCCUACGGGAGGCAGCAGUGGGGGAAUUUUGGACAAUGGACGCAAGUCUGAUCCAGCCAUUCCGCGUGCAGGAUGAAGGCCCUCGGGUUGUAAACUGCUUUUGUACGGAACGAAAAGGUUCUCUUAAUACGAGGAGCUCAUGACGGUACCGUAAGAAUAAGCACCGGCUAACUACGU